CAAGCCCUCAUCUCUGGGAGAGGAAGGAUCUUCACCUGGAAGAUGGAGGAUGGAUUACACAUGGAGACAGCAUGAAAGACUGGCGCAGGACAGAGAAUGAUGGGCUGCGAUGAAGGUCCUCCAUCUCUGGUGGUGUCCAUCAUGUCUGUACCUUGGUUUUCAUCACUGUUAGUCAUGCAAGCUCUGGUGGAGGCUCCGAAGUACUGUUGUACACAGAUAUAGGAUUCUUCAAUGCUGUUUCCGUAACAAUUUUGUUGGUAUCCUUUGACCUGUUUGGCAUGGGUGACCCUACCAAGUACCAAAGUGUAAAGCCCUGACUCCAGCACCACAGCUCUCUGGCCACUGAGGCACGCAAGCUCCAAACCAUGAGAAGGUCGUGGUCCUCUUGGAGGAAGUGGUGCAGCAAAAGAGCGCAAUGGCUGCCCUGUCUGCGAUAUGUAGACGUGGAUAAUAUGAGGGGCAUAAUUUUAAGGUGUUUGGAGGAAAGUAUAGGAGAGAUGUCGGAG